AUGAACAUGGGUUCUCAGCUCAGCAGUCACACCCUGCCUGCCCCCCAGCCCCCUGGGGGGGGGGUGCGGUCAGGCAGGAUCACACGAGUGACAGGUGGAGAUACUGAGUCCAGAAGGAUUAAACACCCCUCAGGGAUGCCGUCGAGGGCGAGUGCAGCACGAGGCAGGCCCCAGCUGUGCCGCACAGGCGCGGAGCAGGGAGCGAAGUGGGUGGGGCUCCAGGCCCAAACGGCCUGGCUCCCUGAGGACCUGAACUCUCCCAUGACGACAGAUCGCCUUGGCGGCCCCUCUCGUUCGUGGCUUUGAGACCCACCCAUGCUGGUCUCUGGGCAUCCUCGCUGGUCUCCAGCCACACACCUCGGGCCCAAGUCUAUGGGCAGGCCUGGGCAAGAGUGGAAUGACUGGCUGGCCAGGUCUCGUGACUGCCCAGCUCUCACCUCCUCAACAGUCAUCCUCCAGGGCCCAGAUAGCCCUGAAGGGAGCAGAGCUCAGCAGGACUUUCUGUGAUGAUGAAAUACCUGCUCUGUCCAGUAUGGCGCUACUGGCCUGAUGCGUGCACGCUUGUUCAGUCAUGUCUGACUCUGCAACCCCACAGACUGUAGUCCACCUGGCUCCUCUGUCCAUAGGAUUCUCCAGGACUAGAACCCUGGAGUAGGUUGUCAUUUCAUUCUUCCCGGGAUCUUUCCAACCCAGGGAUCAAACCUGCAUCUCCUAUAUUGGGGGGCAGAUUCUUUACCACUGAGCCACCAAGGAAGCCCCACCUUCCUGACAUGACCCCCCAAACACACAUGGAGACCCUGAAAUAGGGCCAGUGCAACUGAGGACCUGAACUUCUAAUUCUAUUUAAUUUCAAUCUAAGAAGCCUCACACAUCUAAGGGUACAGUCUCAAGGUUCCAGAGCCACCAGCAUGCCCCACAUGGCACAUAACACAGACCACUGGUCUCACAGGAGAGCGGGCCAGGGUGAUGGGAAUCACUGCAUUUUUCUCCAGGCCUGAGGCUCUGGAACGGACGAGUAACAUUUCCCUAACACAGGUGUCCCAGCAGUGGGUGACCGAGGAACCUCCAGCGCGCCCGGGUCCCCGCGCCUUCCCCUUCCUCCAGCCCAGUGCCUGGGCCACCGGCACGCAGCGGCUGCUCAGGC
rnacentral:lncRNA from 1 species